GUUAUGGGGUGGCUGUUUUUCUACGUGGACCAAGCAGGGUCCCAGUUCAAGUUUCUGCUGCCUAUCUGAUAAUCUUGAGGUAUUUAUGAAGGACUCCUUUGAAAGUUCUCUACUGAGUUUCCUUAAGGAAUUGGAAUAUGAGACCAAUUUGUUGAAUUGGACAGCUGGAAGCAAGGAAGGGAAAAAGUAUUUCACCGAAAAGGCAGAAGACUGGCAUCAAUUGCAAGCUGUGGAAUCAAGACAACUUUGGCUGAGUCCCAUUUUAUAUAGGACUAAAGGAGAGUGCAGUCCUCAAAGGCAAUAAUAUUUAUGAGAACAAAGAAGACUGUGGAGAAAUUUUAGGCAGUAGAAGAGAGCAGAAAGGCCAAGAGGAUCAGGGUUGAAGUAAGCUAUAUAGCAAAUCAGGCAUUGCCCAGUUACCUGGGAAUUACAUUCAGGCAAAGCAGAAAUACCUGAAGCUAGUUGCUUAUACAACCAAAUAUUGAGAAGUAAAGAUAUUUUCAUCUAGAACAAUCCUAAAAAUCACUCUUGUUUCUAAAAGGCCAAAGGUAGUGGGCAGGUAUACAAAGAAAGGGAUAUUUAUGAGAGAGGGCCUGACAUUUAAUCUAUUUAUGUAAGUGACAUCAAUACAUAUUGUCAAGCCUGGAUAUGACAUAAUUAAUCAUUAAUACAACCUAAUUGCAGAAGUUCUUUUUAAAAAUAGAGUUAUGUCUCAGAAUAAAGAAAGAUCCCUAGCUCCAACAUUCAGUCCAGGUUUAAGUCCUUCAGCAUCUGACAUUCUCCUGGCAACUGUAAUUGAAUCAAUGAUGACUCAUCUGAGAUGAGCAAGUUGGUCCAGUCAGACCAAACAAAAGACAUUCUAUAAUCAGGGGAGAAGUCUUCUCUAUAUCUCUCUUAUAUGAGCAAGUUUAAUGACCUCCACCAUCUCUAAGAACAAGCAGCUAUUUCUGUAGAGAAAGAUCAUCUUUGGAUAACAAUACAUGAUUUUAGGCUCUAAAAGUUAAAACGUGUUUGUAACGUUGAUAUUAUGCAGAGGUCUUGACAGAACUUGGCAGUCUCUGAGGCUACAGAGAAGUGUGAAAAAGAGCAUAGAGAUUUCAGAAGGAGGCAGAUUCAGUCAGACGUACUGAAUCCCGUUUGAUCUCAACUCAGGCACACUCCAGAUGGACG
rnacentral:lncRNA from 10 species